ACAAUGUGUGUAGCACGAUGUGCCUUUUCGUUACCACGAUUCAAAACAAAUGAUUCGCAAAGGUUUCGAAGCUUCAGGAAACAGUGCUUCGAAAGCGCACAUCACUGGUAGCAGGUAAACAUUAAAAACCGCUCAGACCACAUGGGAAGUGGCGGUUUUAUAGGAGCAGGUGCAGAUCUUCAGUAAUCCCUCACGUGUGUGUACAGUUUGACACCAUCUAGUUUCCUUAAGUUUCAGUAGGUUUCCUGACGUGAACCCUGAACAUCUUCUCCAUCACUUGGCACCUCUGGACAUAGCCGAGUUUAGUGGAGGAACUCGCUACAAGAAUCCAACACAAGGUUGUGAUCUCCGUAGUGUCCUUUUUUCCUACGGGAAACAAGCACUUUCCCAGUGUUCUCAAGAUGCCCAGCCGCUCCACCGAGGAAAGGCCCGGCUGCAGGAAACCCUGCCUGUGACAGGUCAGUUCUUGGAUGUUGGAAGGUCACGAAGAGGUGAGCUGCACUUAUGUUAACACUUUUGGCAUGUUGUUGACUCUUGGCUAACUAUCCCUCUAUAUUCCUUAGAUGUUUUUUUAAUCAGUUCUUUCAAAAACACUGUAUAGUCGCACAUAAGAUGGCAAAUAUUUAAAUGAUGAAUAGUCAAUGCAAUAUA